AUACGUAGGGGGCGAGCGUUGUCCGGAAUGAUUGGGCGUAAAGCGCGCGUAGGCGGCGCGGUAAGUCUGGAGUGAAAGCCCUGCUUUCAAGGUGGGAAUUGCUUUGGAUACUGCCGCGCUUGAGUGCAGGAGAGGUUAUCGGAAUUCCCGGUGUAGCGGUGAAAUGCGUAGAGAUCGGGAGGAACACCAGUGGCGAAGGCGGGUAACUGGACUGCAACUGACGCUGAGGCGCGAAAGUGUGGGGAGCAAACAGGAUUAGAUACCCUGGUAGUCCACACUGUAAACGAUGAAUGCUAGGUGUAAGAGGUAUCGACCCCUUUUGUGCCGGAGUCAACACAAUAAGCAUUCCGCCUGGGGAGUACGGCCGCAAGGUUGAAACUCAAAGGAAUUGACGGGG
rnacentral:rRNA from 1 species